UACGAGGGGAGCAAGCGUUGUUCGGAUUUACUGGGCGUAAAGGGCGCGUAGGCGGCCAGCACAAGUCAGUUGUGAAAUCUCCGAGCUUAACUCGGAAAGGUCAACUGAUACUGUGCGGCUAGAGUGCAGAAGGGGCAACUGGAAAUUCUUGGUGGUAGCGGUGAAAUGCGUAGAUAUCUGGAGGAACACCGGUGGCGAAGGCGGCAUCCUGGACCAACACUGACGGCUGAGGAGGCGAAAAGCCAGGGGAGCAAACGGG
rnacentral:rRNA from 1 species